rnacentral:rRNA from 1 species
UACCAGCACCCCGAGUGGUCGGGACGUUUAUUGGGCUUAAAGCAUCCGUAGCCGGUUCUACAAGUCUUCCGUUAAAUCCAGCUGCUUAACAGAUGGGCUGCGGAAGAUACUAUGGAGCUAGGAGGCGGGAGAGGCAAGCGGUACUCGAUGGGUAGGGGUAAAAUCCGUUGAUCCAUUGAAGACCACCCGUGGCGAAGGCGGCUCUCUGGAACGCAACUGACGCUGAGACGCGAAAGCGUGGGGAGCAAACAGG